GCCUGCAGCUAUACCUCUUCGAGCUAUGAGCUCUCUGUAAACUAAUCAAGGUUGGGCCUGGUUCAUAUUUGGAUGAGAGACCUCCAAGUGAAACCUGGGUUGUUGCAAGAA
rnacentral:rRNA from 1 species